UUGAGAUGCCUUAUUCUUUUAUCUCUAUUGAAACAUGUAUAAUUCUGCUUCUUAAUUUAUAGUCAUAUUGUCAUUUGCUCCACAAUCCUCACGCAUUGAUUCCGCAAAUUCAUCCGAUUCUUCUUUAUCGAAUGCCCUAAACUAAAUUCACCUACACCUUAAACCAAAUCUGAGAGGAAACAGCUCUACUCAGUGAUUGGAGCUGCCUGUAGAUUCAGAGUUCAUAAGGUAUCCAUGAGAAACAUGAAAUGCUUUGAGUGGUUAUUCAUAUGCUCUCUGAUCACACUACUUAGUGGUCUACCAUACAGUUAUGGAAAUGUUCUCCGAACAUUUGGCACGAUGAACGAUAAAGUUUUGCGUGUUGGCGAGGAGCUUUUCAAGGAAACCUUGCCGAUUCGAAAUGGUGCUCGCCUCUACCACUUGCAGGGAUUAAAACCCCAGACGUGGUAUGAAGUGAAGAUGUCAUAUCCUGCUUCUAUGCCCGCCAGUUUUUCUUUGCA